GUUGAUUAUGACAUCGUGCUGCUGUUUCUACUUACUAAUAGUCACCAACUGCAUUCCUCUUUAUAUUAUAAUCAGUUCGCAAUCAUGGAACUAGUCGUAUAAAAGGAGAGUGAAGGCGAAGAAUCAGUAGUCGAGUGGUCAUCGAGUACUACACCAAGACAUCGGAGUACUACACUACUCCACAUCAAGGGAGAGAAAAGGCGAAAGAAAUCAGUCCAGUGGAUAUCUCCGACAUGGCCAAAGCAACUGCAGGUGCACUGUUUGUUACCACCUGCAUUCUAGGGCGCAGUGCUAGUUUUAAAUCGUGG